UACGUAGGUGGCAAGCGUUUGUCCGGAUUUACUGGGCGUAAAGAGCGCGCAGGCGGUCGAUCAAGUCGCGUGUGAAAGCCCCCGGCUCAACUGGGGAGGGUCACGCGAUACUGAUCGACUCGAAGGCAGGAGAGGGUAGUGGAAUUCCCGGUGUAGUGGUGAAAUGCGUAGAUAUCGGGAGGAACACCAGUGGCGAAGGCGACUACCUGGCCUGUUCUUGACGCUGAGGCGCGAAAGCUAGGGGAGCAAACGGG
rnacentral:rRNA from 1 species